rnacentral:lncRNA from 1 species
CAAGAGCGUGUUCAUACUUACGGGCUCUAUUACAAUUAUCACAUUCACUUCAGGGAAUGGAUCAUAAUCAUCUGUAUGUGCUAUACACAAUCCUAUGUCAAAUAUUACUUUCAUAAAGUGAAAGAUUAUUUUGAGAAUCACUAUUGUUCUCAUUACCACAAUAAUGACGAUUAUAAUUUCGUCUAUUGCCACGUCCACAUUCA